AAUAAACGCUGGCGGCGUGCCUAACACAUGCAAGUCGAGCGAGAAAGUCUCUUCGGAGACGAGUAAAGCGGCGGACGGUUGAGUAACACGUAAGAAUCUGCCCUUCAGUGAAGAAUACCCUCGAGAAAUCGAGGUUAAUACUGCAUAUCUCCCUACGGGGAGAAAGGUGGCUUAUUUUAGCUACCGCUGAAGGAGGAGCUUGCGGCCUAUCAGUUAGUUGGUGAGAUAAAAGCCCACCAAGACUAUGACGGGUAGCCGGCCUGAGAGGGUGUUCGGCCAGACUGGAACUUAGACACGGUCCAGACUCCUACGGGUGGCAG
rnacentral:rRNA from 1 species